rnacentral:rRNA from 1 species
UACGGGGGGAGCAAGCGUUGUUCGGAUUUACUGGGCGUAAAGGGCGCGUAGGCGGGCUGGCAAGUCGGUCGUGAAAUCCCUCGGCUCAACCGAGGAACGUCGAUCGAUACUGCUGUUCUUGAGGAUUGCAGAGGAGACUGGAAUUCCCGGUGUAGCGGUGAAAUGUGUAGAGAUCGGGAGGAACACCGGUGGCGAAGGCGGGUCUCUGGGCAUUUCCUGACGCUGAGGCGCGAAAGCGUGGGGAGCAAACGGG